rnacentral:rRNA from 1 species
GAUGAACGCUGGCGGCGUGCUUAACACAUGCAAGUCGAACGGAAAGGCUCCUGCUUGCAGGGGUACUCGAGUGGCGAACGGGUGAGUAACACGUGGGUGAUCUGCCCAGCACUUCGGGAUAAGCCUGGGAAACUGGGUCUAAUACCGGAUAGGACGAUGGUUUGGAUGCCAUUGUGGAAAGUUUUUUCGGUGUGGGAUGAGCUCGCGGCCUAUCAGCUUGUUGGUGGGGUAAUGGCCUACCAAGGCGUCGACGGGUAGCCGGCCUGAGAGGGUGUACGGCCAGAGGGGGACAGAAAUACGGACAGGAAUCAUGGGGGAGGCAGAGGGGGGGAGUGGGGAAAAAGGGGCGGAGGCUGGAGGCAGCGAGGCGGGGGGGGGGAGGAGGAAGUUAGGGUUGAAAACGAAUUACGCAAGGAAGGAAGCGAAAGUGAGGGUACGGGAAAAGGAAGAACGGGCAAAAUACGUG